rnacentral:rRNA from 1 species
UACGUAGGGUGCAAGCGUUGUCCGGAAUUAUUGGGCGUAAAGAGCGUGUAGGCGGCCAGGUAGGUCCGUUGUGAAAACUCGAGGCUCAACCUCGAGACGCCGAUGGAAACCAUCUGGCUAGAGUCCGGAAGAGGAGAGUGGAAUUCCCGGUGUAGCGGUGGAAUGCGCAGAUAUCAGGAGGAACACCGAUGGCGAAGGCAGGUCACUGGGCCGCAACUGACGCUGAGGAGCGAAAGCAUGGGGAGCGAACAGG